CCUCGCAUCCAGGAGGAGCAAAGAAUGAACACAUAACCACUAGGUGGGAAAAAAAAAACCAAAACAAAACCAACAACUAAAUAUUUUAAUAGGAUCAUAGAAUCCCAGAAUGGUUUGGGUUGGAAAGGCCCUUAAAGCUCAUCUUGUUCCACCCCCUGCCAUGGGAAGGGAUGCCUAGCAGACCAGGUUGCUCCAAACCCAUCCAGCCUGGCCUUGGACACAUCCUAAAUUUAGGGGCCUAUUCUACGAGGGAGACUGCCAGCCUUGAGAGUUCUGGCCUUCUGAGAGCUGACAGAAUUUCCUGGGAACCUUCCGCAUAUGGACAGAUGACCUCAUUGUGUCACUGAUAGGCAUUUGUGGCAACACCCCUUGAUCCUGCUUGGAGUCCCUGCCCCUUCUCACCUCUAUCCUAUUCCUUCCCUUCUUCACAUCGAGCUGCUCCAUGAUCCUUCCUUGUUGCCUGUCCCGCCGUGUGCACUCCCAGCUGCAGGCACCAGCCAGGCUGUUGCUGAACCUGAGGAGCUCCAUCAGCAUGUUUUCAGAGCUUCUACCCUGAUGGCAUCAGCUCAGCACUGCUUUCACAACAGACGGCUUGUUUUCAGAAAAGGAGGAAAAGUGGGGGAAGCGGCGGAAGUCCAACUUUCCACUGGAGAUGUGUCAUCCCAGCCCGAACAAUAGCGAGGCAGCAUGACUCUGUACUGCACUGCUGCCCUUCUGCUGGUGCUGGGGGUGCCGGGGAGCCCUCAGCGCAGACAUUCCCACCACGGCCAGCUUCGCGCUCUCUGGGGAGGCAAAAAGCAGAAUCACCACGCUGAUGUGUAAUAACAACCACGCAUGUAAAAACACCUCCCGGCAGCAGGAUAAUCUCUAGGCUUGCUGACCAGCAUGCGCUGUGCAGACCCUGCGAACAGUCCGGCUCAGGCUCUUAAUGCAAGGACUUCUGUAGGAUACAUGUGUUUACUUUAAAACAACAAUGUGCAUUUUUUCCCAGAACAGACUGUUUUUUUAGUUCUUUCAGCAGCAGGCUGCAUUCAGGCUUUCUCGGGAUAUAACCAAGUUUACAAAGCCUUUUCUUGACUCCCCUAUCAAUUUUUUUCUCAAGGAGUAGUUUCCUGUUUACUGAGAAUGCUUCUGGAGGCACUUUCUCCUGUAAAAGCAGUUUUAUAGAUUCAUAGAAUGGCUUGGGUUGGAAGGGACCUUUUAAGGGUCACCAAGUUUAACUUCCUGCCAUAGGCAGAGACAGUUUGGCUUUACAGGAUUUCUGGAUUUUACACAAUCUUUACACAAUUCCUCAACCUGAAAAGUUGCAGUGAGAUCUUAAGCUAGCUAAAAGCCAUAAUGCAGUCUAUGGCCAGGUCCGGCAGAGCUGGUGCCUCUAAGCAACAGAUGU